rnacentral:rRNA from 1 species
UACGUAGGGGGCGAGCGUUGUCCGGAAUUACUGGGCGUAAAGGGUGCGUAGGCGGGUCUUUAAGUCAGGGGUGAAAUCCUGGAGCUCAACUCCAGAACUGCCUUUGAUACUGAGGAUCUUGAGUUCGGGAGAGGUGAGUGGAACUGCGAGUGUAGAGGUGAAAUUCGUAGAUAUUCGCAAGAACACCAGUGGCGAAGGCGGCUCACUGGCCCGAUACUGACGCUGAGGCACGAAAGCGUGGGGAGCAAACAGG